rnacentral:rRNA from 1 species
GACGAACGCUGGCGGCGUGCUUAACACAUGCAAGUCGAACGGAAAGGCCCUGCUUUUGUGGGGUGCUCGAGUGACGAACGGGUGAGUAACACGUGAGUAACCUGCCCUUGACUUUGGGAUAACUUCAGGAAACUGGGGCUAAUACCGGAUAGGAGCUCCUGCUGCAUGGUGGGGGUUGGAAAGUUUCGGCGGUUGGGGAUGGACUCGCGGCUUAUCAGCUUGUUGGUGGGGUAGUGGCUUACCAAGGCUUUGACGGGUAGCCGGCCUGAGAGGGUGACCGGCCACAUUGGGACUAAGAUACGGCCCAGACUCCUACGGGAGGCAGCAGUGAGGAAUAUUGCACAAUGGGCGGAAGCCUGAUGCAGCAACGCCGCGUGCGGGAUGACGGCCUUCGGGUUGUAAACCGCUUUCGCCUGUGACGAAGCGUGAGUGACGGUAAUGGGUAAAGAAGCACCGGCUAACUACGUGCCAGCAGCCGCGGUGAUACGUAGGGUGCGAGCGUUGUCCGGAUUUAUUGGGCGUAAAGGGCUUGUAGGUGGUUGAUCGCGUCGGAAGUGUAAUCUUGGGGCUUAACCCUGAGCGUGCUUUCGAUACGGGUUGACUUGAGGAAGGUAGGGGAGAAUGGAAUUCCUGGUGGAGCGGUGGAAUGCGCAGAUAUCAGGAGGAACACCAGUGGCGAAGGCGGUUCUCUGGGCCUUUCCUGACGCUGAGGAGCGAAAGCGUGGGGAGCGAACAGGCUUAGAUACCCUGGUAGUCCACGCUGUAAACGGUGGGUACUAGGUGUGGGGUCCAUUCCACGGGUUCCGUGCCGUAGCUAACGCUUUAAGUACCCCGCCUGGGGAGUACGGCCGCAAGGCUAAAACUCAAAGGGAUUGACGGGGCCCCGCACAAGCGGCGGAGCAUGCGGAUUAAUUCGAUGCAACGCGUAGAACCUUACCUGGGUUUGACAUGGAUCGGGAGUGCUCAGAGAUGGGUGUGCCUCUUUUGGGGUCGGUUCACAGGUGGUGCAUGGCUGUCGUCAGCUCGUGUCGUGAGAUGUUGGGUUAAGUCCCGCAACGAGCGCAACCCUUGUUCACUGUUGCCAGCACGUUAUGGUGGGGACUCAGUGGAGACCGCCGGGGUCAACUCGGAGGAAGGUGGGGAUGACGUCAAGUCAUCAUGCCCCUUAUGUCCAGGGCUUCACGCAUGCUACAAUGGCUGGUACAGAGAGUGGCGAGCCUGUGAGGGUGAGCGAAUCUCGGAAAGCCGGUCUCAGUUCGGAUUGGGGUCUGCAACUCGACCUCAUGAAGUCGGAGUCGCUAGUAAUCGCAGAUCAGCAACGCUGCGGUGAAUACGUUCCCGGG